rnacentral:lncRNA from 1 species
CACGAUUGAGACAAACAGAGGUGUCACGAUUGAGACAGAGGUGUCACGAUUGAGACAAACAGAGGUGUCACGAUUGAGACAAACAGAGGCGUCACGAUUGAGACAAACAGAGGUGUCACGAUUGAGACAGAGGCGUCACGAUUGAGACAAACAGAGGUGUCACGAUUGAGACAGAGGUGUCACGAUUGAGACAAACAGAGGUGUCACGAUUGAGACAAACAGAGGUGUCACGAUUGAGACAAACAGAGGUGUCACGAUUGAGACAAACAGAGGCGUCAUGAUUGAGACAAACAGAGGUGUCACGAUUGAACACAAACCUCUCUGAUUGAGAGAGCUAAUGGCUGGGAGUAAUGGUACUCUACGGCCAUUCCCCACAUCGCCAGCAGGUGGAGGUAGCAGCGUACAGCAGCUGUGGUUACCGCCACUGAUCCGUCCGUCACAGCAUCAGAACCAGCCUGCCUCAUGUUCCUCAUUUCCCCAUUUCUG